CCUACGGGUGGCUGCAGUCGAGAAUCAUUCACAAUGGGGGAAACCCUGAUGGUGCGACGCCGCGUGGGGGAAUGAAGGUCUUCGGAUUGUAAACCCCUGUCAUGUGGGAGCAAAUUAAAAAGAUAGUACCACAAGAGGAAGAGACGGCUAACUCUGAGCCAGCAGCCGCGGUAAUACAGAGGUCGCAAGCGUUGUUCGGAAUCACGGGGCGUAAAGCGGGCGUAGGCUGUUUCGUAAGUCGUGUGUGAAAGGCGCGGGCUCAACCCGCGGACGGCACAUGAGACUGCGAGACUAGAGUAAGGGAGGGGGAACCGGAAUUCUCGGUGUAGCAGUGAAAUGCGUAGAUAUCGAGAGGAACACUCGUGGCGAAGGCGGGUUCCUGGACAUUAACUGACGCUGAGGCACGAAGGCCAGGGGAGCGAAAGGGAUUAGAUACCCCAGUAGUC
rnacentral:rRNA from 1 species